UUCGCAAUGCCCGAAAGGGUGACGAAGCGACGCCGCGUGUGGGAAGAAGGCCUUCGGGUUGUAAACCACUGUCGGGAGUUAAGAAAUGCAAGGGUAUAAAUAGUAUCCUUGCUUGACUAAGGCUCCGGAGGAAGCCACGGCUAACUCUGUGCCAGCAGCCGCGGUAAUACAGAGGCGGCAAGCGUUGUUCGGAAUUAUUGGGCGUAAAGAGCACGUAGGCGGCUGUGUAAGUCGGUUGUGAAAGCCUUCCGCUUAACGGAAGAACAGCAGCCGAUACUGCAUGGCUUGAGUGCGGGAGGGGAGAGUGGAACUUCUGGUGGAGCGGUGAAAUGCGUAGAUAUCAGAAGGAACGCCGGCGGCGAAAGCGACUCUCUAGACCGUGACUGACGCUGAGUGUGCGAAAGCUAGGGGAGCAAACGGGAUUAGAUACCCCGGUAGUCCUAGCCGUAAACGAUGGGCACUAAGUAGAGGGGUUUU
rnacentral:rRNA from 2 species